GUGUCAGCCGCCAUCCUUCUCGCUGGAAGUUGUGGGUUGUCGUCGUGGGAGGUGGCCUUGCAAUGCUCCUUGAAAUCUACGACUUUCCUCCAUAUAAAGGAUUUGUGGAUGCUCAUGCUCUCUGGCAUGCCACCACCAUCCCUCUUACCUACAUUUGGUGGAGUUUCAUCAGAGAUGAUACAGAGUUAGGAACCUCUAACCUCCUUAAAAAGGCAAAGUAGCUUAUCAAACAAUUUGAUAUGUAAAACCACCUUCCCUGUUCUUGAGCUUGACAAGAAAUUAAAGUUUACUAGUUCUCAAGAUUUGCAUUUUUUUUCUCCUGUAAUAUUUGUUUUUUUUUUUUCCUGUUUAAACUUUGAAGGAUGGAAGCUACUUAGUUUGAUAUUCAAUUUGAAUGAAACAUUUUUGUGGUGAGAUUAGAUUGUGAAAUGAAACUGAGAAUUGCGGCUGCUUACUGAAUGUUUGCUUCUUUCCGUUUUUUCCUUUUUUUUCUGAUUAAUUUGGCUCCAAACUCUUUUCUUUCCCAUUUCUUUAUGUGUCUUUUUUCCUUUUCGAGUUCUUUGACCUCUGUAAUGCUCUGUGCCCGCUAGUCAAGUUAACUGCUCUCCAGAUAUUUCUGGAGAAAAUCCUUUAGAAAAUAAAAUAAUAUUGUUUCCUUUUUCGCACAUUAGGUUCAAGGGCAUAACUUUCAAAAGCAGGGGCUUCGACAGUUCCCACUUUCCACCGUCCAAUUUAUUAUAUACAUAAAUUGCCAAAUUAAUAUUUAGUCCCUAUAAUUUAGUGACUUUGCAAAUCAGGACUUCUAUUUUAAAAAAAUUAAAUAAUUCCUCUAUUUUAUUGUUGUUAAAUUAUAUCGUCCUUACAUUAAUUUUUCUGUUAAAUUAUAGUGAAAUGUCAUUUUUAACCAUAAUUUUUUUAACAUAUUGUUGAGUGUUAUUCUAUACAGGUUAGAAAUGAGAAAAUAUAUACAUACGCGACAACUAUGCAAUUGGCUAGUGGCAAAUCAUUUUGACUAUGAUUGGACUUUUUAAUUGUAUCUUUUGUUUAAAUUAGAUUAUUAGAUAAAAUGAGAUUUUUAUCAACAGUAAAAUUAAAAUGAAAAAAAAGUGUUUUAUUAUUAUUUUUUAAGUUAACAAAAAAAAAAAAUGCUCCACUGCUUGCAUUUGUGACAACUCAUAUAUUGUUCCUCAACUUUUAUAAGCUAGACUAUGGUAUUUUAUCUGUACUCUUGUACUUUCACAUAUUCUUGUUCGAAGAUUAAUGCAUAAGAUACAUUCUGAUGUAUUUAAAAAUUUUUGAAAAAUAGCUUUCCACCUGUUAUGCCAGUUUUCACUUCAUCUAUAGAACAUAACAUCUGACUAGGCAAAUUUCUUCCAAUAAAAGAUUGCUGGAGAUGACGUUCUAUCUUGUGAUUUGCUUGACUGCAUCUGUUCUGUUUCUCACGGCAUUAGGAAUUAAUGCCGUGAAGAGAGAGAGAGCUAUGCCAAUGUGAUUUCUAAUUUUCCUUAACUGCAUGAUGUAAACAGUUAGCGGGCAUGGACUGACAUGAUUGUGAAUAUUUUACAGGGUGGAACAUGAUAGUUUGUGUCAUCAUGGCAGUGGCUCAGCUUCUCAUUUGGGCGAUUUGGGCCGGUGUCAGCCGCCAUCCUUCUCGCUGGAAGUUGUGGGUUGUCGUCGUGGGAGGUGGCCUUGCAAUGCUCCUUGAAAUCUACGACUUUCCUCCAUAUAAAGGAUUUGUGGAUGCUCAUGCUCUCUGGCAUGCCACCACCAUCCCUCUUACCUACAUUUGGUGGAGUUUCAUCAGAGAUGAUACAGAGUUAGGAACCUCUAACCUCCUUAAAAAGGCAAAGUAGCUUAUCAAACAAUUUGAUAUGUAAAACCACCUUCCCUGUUCUUGAGCUUGACAAGAAAUUAAAGUUUACUAGUUCUCAAGAUUUGCAUUUUUUUUCUCCUGUAAUAUUUGUUUUUUUUUUUUCCUGUUUAAACUUUGAAGGAUGGAAGCUACUUAGUUUGAUAUUCAAUUUGAAUGAAAC
rnacentral:lncRNA from 1 species